rnacentral:rRNA from 1 species
UACGUAGGGUGCAAGCGUUGUCCGGAAUUAUUGGGCGUAAAGAGCUUGUAGGCGGUUUGUCGCGUCUGCUGUGAAAUUUCGGGGCUCAACCCCGAACUUGCAGUGGGUACGGGCAGACUAGAGUGUGGUAGGGGAGACUGGAAUUCCUGGUGUAGCGGUGAAAUGCGCAGAUAUCAGGAGGAACACCGGUGGCGAAGGCGAGUCUCUGGACAUUUCCUGACGCUGAGGCACGAAAGCCAGGGGAGCAAACGGG